GCAGCUCAUUUGGUAGAGUGUGAGACUUGUAAUCCAAGGGUUGCAGGUUCUGUUCCUGCCUUAACCU